AUUGAACGCUGGCGGCAUGCUUUACACAUGCAAGUCGAACGAGUGGCGAACGGGUGCGUAAUAUAUCGGAACGUACCGAGGAAUAGGGGCUAACCAAUCGAAAGAUUGCCUAAUACCGCAUAUUAUUCGAGGGGCCGAUAACUGAUUAGCUAGUGGGAGGGGCAAAGGCCUACCAAGGCGACGACCAGUAUCGGGUCUGAGAGGACGAACCGCCACACUGGACCUGAGACACGGCCCAGACUCCUACGGGAGACAGCAGUGGGGAAUUUUGGACAAUGGGGGCAACCCUGAUCAAGCCAUGCCGAGUGUAUGAAGAAGGCCUUCGGGUUGUAAAGUACUUUUGUUAGGGAAGCGGUACCUAAAGAAUAAGCACCGGCUAACUACGUGCCAGCAGCCGCGGUAAUUC
rnacentral:rRNA from 1 species